UCCCUCGUGGUCCAGUGGUUAAGGCUCUGCCUUCCAAUGCAGGGGGUGCAGGUUCGAUCCUUGCUUGGGGAA
rnacentral:tRNA from 1 species